rnacentral:tRNA from 1 species
UCCCUUGUGGCUCAGCUGGUAAAGAAUCUGCCUGCAAUGCAGGAGACCUGGGUUCGAUCCCCGGGUUGGGAA